UACGGAGGGGGCUAGCGUUGUUCGGAAUUACUGGGCGUAAAGCGCGCGUAGGCGGCUUGGCAAGUCGGGUGUGAAACCUCCAGGCUCAACCUGGAGACGCCACUCGAUACUGCCAUGGCUAGAGUCCGGUAGGGGACCACGGAAUUCCUGGUGUAGCGGUGAAAUGCGCAGAUAUCAGGAGGAACACCGGUGGCGAAGGCGGGUCUCUGGGCAGUGAAC
rnacentral:rRNA from 1 species